CUUUUCGGGUGCUGCAUCUGGUCAACACUUGAUUUCCUUCUAAAGAGACAAACGUCGUCAUUGCCUCCGGUUUCAGCAGAAUAAAGGUUAAUAUUGGUUGAA
rnacentral:lncRNA from 1 species